rnacentral:rRNA from 1 species
GUGCACCAGGCGCGAAACCUCCGCAAUGCGGGAAACCGUGACGGGGUCACCCCGAGUGCCACCCGAUGAGGGUGGCUUUUCCCCGGUCUAAAAGCCGGGGGCAAUAAGCGGGGGCAAGUCUGGUGUCAGCCGCCGCGGUAAUACCAGCCCCGCGAGUGGUCGGGACGUUUAUUGGGCCUAAAGCGUCCGUAGCCGGCUCGGUAAGUCCCUCCUUAAAUCCACGGGCUCAACCCGUGGGCUGGGAGGGAUACUGCCGGGCUAGGGGGCGGGAGAGGCCGAGGGUACUCCCGGGGUAGGGGCGAAAUCCGUUAAUCCCGGGAGGACCACCAGUGGCGAAGGCGCUUGGCUGGAACGCGCCCGACGGUGAGGGACGAAAGCUAGGGGAGC